GUGAGUAUGUGUUUCUUACACAUGAUUAGGUUUUCACGAGCAUGUUUGAGAGUGCCUCCCUCAAAACGUGUUACAACAUCAGCACAUUACCCAUCUGACG